AUUGAACGCUGGCGGCAUGCCUUACACAUGCAAGUCGAACGGCAGCGGGGUAGUGCUUGCACUACUGCCGGCGAGUGGCGAACGGGUGAGUAAUAUAUCGGAACGUACCGAGUAAUGGGGGAUAACCAAUCGAAAGAUUGGCUAAUACCGCAUACGUCCUGAGGGAGAAAGCGGGGGAUCGCAAGACCUCGCGUUAUUCGAGCGGCCGAUAACUGAUUAGCUAGUUGGUGGGGUAAAGGCCUACCAAGGCGACGAUCAGUAGCGGGUCUGAGAGGACGAUCCGCCACACUGGGACUGAGACACGGCCCAGACUCCUACGGGAGGCAGCAGUGGGGAAUUUUGGACAAUGGGGGCAACCCUGAUCCAGCCAUGCCGCGUGUAUGAAGAAGGCCUUCGGGUUGUAAAGUACUCUUGUUAGGGAAGAAAAGGGAAGUGCUAAUACCACUUUUUGCUGACGGUACCUAAAGAAUAAGCACCGGCUAACUACGU
rnacentral:rRNA from 1 species